CCUGUUCAUAUGUUUUUGUGCCAGGUAAGGAAAAAAGGUGGGAAAUUAUGGGUAAGGAAAGAUGUUUUUGUGCACAUCUUGGCUACUGCUUAUCGGUCCAUGCUCUGCCUCAGCUUUAGUGCUGACGUUAAAGGCCUAGCCAAAAUAAUGGUUUUCACCAUUGAAGCCAAGGCAACCCAUACCCUUUAAAGGCAUAAACCACCUACUUCAACACAGCAGUAGCCUCACCAAAAUGGCGCAUGAAGGAUUGAGAGCUUGCUCUGAUUGUUAGAGAGUGAUUAUAAGGGGAGAUACCCUGCAGGCCAUUGAUACUCUGCGCAAAAGUAACUACAAGUUUGCUCAAGAAGGUACAAAACUGAGGCCAUUUUGUUACCCCAAGGCCUGUCCUUGUAUUUAUGCUUGUUGAACCGGUAUUAAAAAUAUUAAUAUCCUUUCAAUAUCAAAAGUUCAUACGAAUUUGAAUAUGAAUUAUAUUUUCACAUGGAGUCAGACAAGGCCAACAUCCAUAUAAAUAAAUGGAGAUUUCAAAUUGAAUCAAUAAAUCCCACCACGAAAAGCCUAUUUUUAAGUUGCAUACUUCUUUAUCACAACAAUUAUCCAGAUUAUUCCUCCACAUGCGAAUGCUAUUCUGCAUCAAAAUUACACUGAUUUUCUAUCUAAAACAGAUAGUGGUAGCUUAUAUUAAACUGAUCCAAAUUAAUAAUUCAGUCCAAUCACAUUGAUUAGAACUUGAAACCAGGCAAGAUUUAAGUAUGACUUUACUUGUAUUGGAGCCCUAAUGGAUGCAUAGAAGCCUAAAGAUAAUGGUAAAUAUAAAAACUAACAUAUUUUGACAUUUGCAAACAAAAAAG
rnacentral:misc_RNA from 1 species